AGCUCUGUGGCUCAACAGUUGAGCGCUUGGCUGCUAACCAAAAGGUUGGUCGUUCAAACCUACCCAGCUG
rnacentral:tRNA from 1 species